UCACCCUCAAUGACUUUCACCUGUGUCUGGUGUCACCUGUGUGUUCCCACUUGUUCCCCUGGUGUUUCUUCCUCAUCAGUUAAUUCCCAGCUAUGAUUUUCACUUUCAGCCCGUGUGUGAUGUCUGGACAGCUCUACCCGUGUUUCAAAGCCGUCUUCGGAUGCUCUCGCCUGGAUCAGAGGAGUUUCUACUGAAUGCCCAAACACGGCGCCUUCAGAGCCUGACGAUACAACGUACUUUUAGAAUUCAUGAAAUUUACAAGCGAGUGAACAGCAGUCUUCCUCCAUCUCGACUUCGCACCUCCAGCCUCUGACACUGGGCCUCCACAGCCUCAGGAGGCAGCACGGUCUUGGUUGUUUUUCUUAAUCAUAAUACAGGGACGCUGUUCCAUUCAGAGAUUUUGACACCAACCGGCCUUGACUAAGAAACACAGCAGCCAGGCGGUCCCAGUCGCCAUCUUGUUUGUAGUUUUCCUUUGUUUACUUGUCACAUACCUGUGUACUAUUUGUUGUAUUAGAUAUUGUUAUUGUAAUUUUGACCUUAACUCUUCAAUAAAUGUUUCCGACAGCA